rnacentral:tRNA from 1 species
AGGUAGGGUGGCCGAGUAGGCGGCGAGUUGUAGCCUCGUGCACGGGCUAAAAGAGUCCCCCAGCCAA